rnacentral:rRNA from 1 species
GACGAACCGUGCGAACGUUGUUCGGAUUCACUGGGCUUAAAGGGCGCGUAGGCGGGUGGCCUGGUCGGGGGUGAAACCUUUCGGCUCAACCGGAAGCCUGCCCCCGAUACCGGCCGCCUGGAGGGGGGUAGGGGCACGCGGAACUUCCGGUGGAGCGGUGAAAUGCGUAGAUAUCGGAAGGAACGCCGGCGGCGAAAGCGGCGUGCUGGACCCCACCUGACGCUGAGGCGCGAAAGCCAGGGGAGCGAACGGG